UAGGGAAUAUUGGUUAAUCUGCGAAAGCGGGAACCAGCAACGCCGCGUGCACGAUGAAGGCCUUCGGGUUGUAAAGCACUUUUCGAGGGGAUGAGGAAGGACAGUACCCUUGGAAUAAGUCUCGGCUAACUACGUGCCAGCAGCCGCGGUAAAACGUAGGAGACGAGCGUUAUCCGGAUUUACUGGGCGUAAAGCGCGUGUAGGCGGUCUGGAAAGUUGGAUGUGAAAGCUCCCGGCUUAACUGGGAGAGGUCGUUCAAAACUACCGGACUAGAGUGCGGGAGAGGGAGGUGGAAUUCCGGGUGUAGUGGUGAAAUGCGUAGAUAUCCGGAGGAACACCAGUGGCGAAAGCGGCCUUCUGGCCCGCAACUGACGCUCAGACGCGAAAGCUAGGGGAGCAA
rnacentral:rRNA from 1 species